rnacentral:rRNA from 1 species
GAGGAACGCUGGCGGCGUGCUUAACACGUGCAAGUCGAACGGUGAAGCUCAAGCUUGCUUGGGUGGAUCAGUGGCGAACGGGUGAGUAACACGUGAGCAACCUGCCCCGGACUCUGGAAUAAGCGCUGGAAACGGCGUCUAAUACUGGAUAUGACACCAAUCCGCAUGGGUAUGGUGUGGAAAGUUUUUCGGUCUGGGAUGGGCUCGCGGCCUAUCAGCUUGUUGGUGAGGUGAUGGCUCACCAAGGCGACGACGGGUAGCCGGCCUGAGAGGGCGACCGGCCACACUGGGACUGAGACACGGCCCAGACUCCUACGGGAGGCAGCAGUGGGGAAUAUUGCACAAUGGGCGAAAGCCUGAUGCAGCGACGCCGCGUGAGGGAUGACGGCCUUCGGGUUGUAAACCUCUUUCAGCAGGGAAGAAGCGAAAGUGACGGUACCUGCAGAAGAAGCACCGGCUAACUACGUGCCAGCCGCCGCAGUAAUAC